rnacentral:tRNA from 1 species
ACUUCAAGGAGGCCUCGAGUGAGCCGAAUGAGGA